GAUGAACGCUAGCGGCAGGCUUAACACAUGCAAGUCGAGGGGUAUAGGUUUUCGGACCUAGAGACCGGCGCACGGGUGCGUAACGCGUAUGCAAUCUACCUUUUGCAGAGGGAUAGCCCAGAGAAAUUUGGAUUAAUACCUCAUAGUAUAACACAAUCGCAUGAUUGAGUUAUUAAAGUCACAACGGCAAAAGAUGAGCAUGCGUCCCAUUAGCUAGAUGGUAAGGUAACGGCUUACCAUGGCUGCGAUGGGUAGGGGUCCUGAGAGGGGGAGCCCCCACGCUGGUACUGAGACACGGGCCAGACUCCUACGGGAGGCAGCAGUGAGGAAUAUUGGUCAAUGGACGCAAGUCUGAACCAGCCAUGCCGCGUGCAGGAUGACGGUCCUAUGGAUUGUAAACUGCUUUUGUACAGGAAGAAACACUCCUUCGUGAAGGAACUUGACGGUACUGUAAGAAUAAGGAUCGGCUAACUCCGUGCCAGCAGCCGCGGUAA
rnacentral:rRNA from 1 species